GGUGUUGUGGCUCAAAGUGGUAGAGUCCUAGCUUUGCAUGCAUGAGGCCCUGGGUUCAAUUCCUCAGCACCA
rnacentral:tRNA from 1 species